AACGAACGCUGGCGGCAUGCCUAACACAUGCAAGUCGAACGAGACCUUCGGGUCUAGUGGCGCACGGGUGCGUAACGCGUGGGAACCUGCCCUUAGGUUCGGAAUAACUCCCCGAAAGGGGUGCUAAUACCGGAUAAUGUCUUCGGACCAAAGAUUUAUCGCCUUUGGAUGGGCCCGCGUUGGAUUAGCUAGUUGGUAGGGUAAAAGCCUACCAAGGCGACGAUCCAUAGCUGGUCUGAGAGGAUGAUCAGCCACACUGGGACUGAGACACGGCCCAGACUCCUACGGGAGGCAGCAGUGGGGAAUAUUGGACAAUGGGCGAAAGCCUGAUCCAGCAAUGCCGCGUGAAUGAUGAAGGCCUUAGGGUUGUAAAGCUCUUUUAACCGGGAUGAUAAUGACAGUACCGGGAGAAUAAGCUCCGGCUAACUCCGUG
rnacentral:rRNA from 1 species